UUACGAUACUUUAUGAUGUUUGGUGAGUUUGAUUAGUAAACAUACACUUAUACAGUUGAGUGUUGUUAUUGAUAUAUUCAAAAAUGAGACGCAAAAGUAACACAAAAUACAAUAAUCUUUCAACACUCAGCAUUCACAAAAUACGUUCCCGUUAAACUAAAUCUGCUUGCCUUGUUUUUAUAAAAUUUUGAAAAGUGCUUACGGGUGACAGGAAUAAUGUCGAAAAAUUAUUUUCGGAAUAGUGUCGAAUAUAUUAAAAACGACUUAUGUCUACAAAAAAAAAAAGUAAAAGUGUCGCUAAUUAAUUUAAUGAGUAGUGUCGAAAAUAAAAAAAGGAAUCGUGUCGCAAAUGAAUUAAAUGAAUACUGUCGAAAAAAGGAAAUAGUGUCGCAAAUAGCAAAAGGAAUAGUGUCUCGAAUAGUAAAAUUGGAAUAAUAAUAAAAACAUAAAAAAGGAAUAGUGUCGCAAAUUAAUUUAAUGAAUAAUCUCAAAAAAAAAAAAAGGAAUAGUGUCGUAAAUAAUAAAAGGAGUUGUGUGGAAAAUAAUUAGAUCGGAAUAGUGUCAAAAACAAACAAAAAAGGUAAAUUGUCGCAAAUAGUAAAAUCGAAAUAGUGUCGCAAGUAGUAAAAUCGGAAUAGUGU